UCUUGGAGGUGGAGCCGUGUGUCACUGUCUCUCCCAUGCCCAAGACAGAGAAGCCCCCAGAGGUCAGGCCGACUCACCAGUCCCUUCCUUCAGGCCAGCGCCCCACCAGCCCCCAGGGGCCCUUCCCUGUCUCGUGCCCGUUCCGGGCCAGACCUUUAGCUCCUGCGCCCCGCACCCCGCGGAGCCCACGCCCCUAGGCAUCCGGGAAAGAUGGGCGGGCGCUUGCUUCCUUGAUUGAUUUACAUUGCCCAGGACAUUUACACCGCGUUCCCAGAAGCAAUUACCGGAGCCCCGUAACACCUCCCACAGCGUGGAGGAGAAGUCGACCCUCAGGGGCGUAGCCCGAAGCUGGGCUCCGGGGGCGUGGCUGCGCCCCCUAGAGGCUCCUCGUGCCCGCGCGCGGGUCCUGGACUCUGAGCACGCGCGCACUGAGAUGCGAGCCCCCACCACAGCCGGAUUUGCUGGGGAAGAAGCCGCACCACGCGCCUCCCGGGAGGCCCGAAGCCCCACAGUUCCGGAAACUCAAUUGGUGGUGGUUACAGAGUAGUGAAGAUUGAAUACACCCAUUCUUCCAUCCAUCCCUCCGUCCUUCCAGCCAUCCAGCCAUCCAUACCUAUCCAUCCAUUUGCCCACCCACUCAACUCUCAGGGAGUGCUCAUUAGAUUGGGUGCCAAAGUACAAAGAGGAAAACCCAGUUCUUAUUGACUGUCUGCAAGAUGCUGAAGUACUGGAUCCACCUAUGUCUCCAUCUGAAGCAAGCGGCCAUAGGAAUCCCCUCUUUCCUUGUAGUGUACUCUCCAUGACUCUGAAAAUUUGGCCAUGUCUGGUGGAACCUAGGAUCCGUAUCAAAGCCAAAAGCCUCUGAAGAUGAGACGUGAGAAGGCCAUCUGCUUAGGAAAUAGGGAUUGGAGAAACUGCUGGGGAGAUAUGGCCCAACCCACCCUGAGGAAUUGUCACUGGUGUCGGAGGAGGGGGACCAGACCAAGGGGCUGCAGAGAAGCACAUGGGUCCUGAGUGAGGGAGCCUGUUGCUCUGGCCCUCCCAGUGCUGUCACCUUCUUGUCUCUUCACUUCCCUGUUACCUUGCCAUAGACGCCUCCCUGUGACUAAGGUUCCUUGGCAGAAUGACUACACAUUCUUGUUGCUCCAGCGCAGUUCUGAUCUACGCCUGGCGUAAUAACUAAGGGCUCCCUCUUUCAUGCUGAAAAGUGCCCUGGCCUGGACCUCAAAUUACACCUCCACCUUAUUCCCUGGAUGCUUCUCUUCCUAAGAAAAGCCCUUGCCUAGGAGGCUCUGACAGUGGAGAAGAGUCUGGGAAAAGCCAGCUGCCAUGUUUUGAAGAUGCUCAAACAACCCUACAGAGGCCCACAUAGUGAGGAACUGACCCUUCCAGCCAACAACCCAGCUCCAUGUGAAUGCAUCAUCUUGCAAAUAAGAAUCAGUGUAGCUGCAAGAUGGACUGAGCUGGCCCAAGGAGCUCUGGUGUUGGCCCACAGUACCCAACAGUCCCCACAGAGUGGCUCUCCUGGUCCCGAACCCCAGCGAGGAGCAGUGAGCAUCCCCAGGAGCUGGAGUCCAGUCGGGGUCAGGCCUGGCCCUCUUGUGCAGGCCUUCUCUUGACUGACCCUCGCUGGCCUCUGCCCCUCACUGACGCCCUGCUCCAUCAUGAGUUCCAGGGAUGUCACAGGGCGAAGCUUGGAGACAGCGCACUCGAGGCCACUAAGGAGUUGGCAAUGGGGACAGCGAGCUCUCUGUGUGCUGCUCUGCUCGGCUCCAUCAUGCACAAUCGGUAAUGGGCAACUUGCUCAGAAAGCUACACCCCCAGCUCUGCUGUCUGUCCACUCUGAAACAUCACCUGCCCACCCACCUGGCCCAUGAGGUUUCCCUACCUGGCCCAGGCCAUGUGCCCCUCCAGCGGGAUACUCAACCUGAUCUGUGCUGUAGGCCUUGGCCACGUGACUUCCACUGUGCCCCACUCCAGCUGGCUGCAGACUCCGCCCGGGAGAUCCUGCCCCUGGUGUCCUGGGAGGACCCAUGGAAAAUACCAAGGGACUCUCAGAUGGUUGGAUCCUUCAGAAGGGUGAGGAUCCUUCCUCCAUGGCCCAGAUCCACUCGCCUGACUGCUGGACCUGAGCAGCCUGUGGGGCCCAUGACUUCCGGUCACCUCCUUCAGCCCCCAAAGGUCACAGAGGAGAGGGCCCAGGAGAAGUGGUGCCAGGAGGAAACCAAGGGGCAGUACCAUCAGGAUGGGGUGCUCUGAGUCCUGGGGUUGUGGCACCAUCUAGGCCCAUGGAGUCUGAGGGAGACUUAAGGACCUUGGGGCACAGUCCUGGGCCUCAGGAAGGUAAGCUCCGUCCUAAAGACUUGAAAAACACCUUGGGUGAGGUAGCCCAUGAAUUUCCACAGAUCUCCUCCCAUGGCCAGGCCUCCCGCAGCUCCCCCCUUGGGCAGCCCGAGGCACACAUACCAGUGCCCCCCGCCCCAGCCCCAAGCCGCUCCCCAUUGUAGAAGCCCCAGAAGCAAGUGCUGGAUGGGCACCAUCAGGUCCUCUCUCCAGGCUCCCAGGGGCCAGGGACGAAGGCAAAGGGCGAAAAGCCCCCAGCUGUGCCAGCAGACUGCUGUCCUCCACCCAGAGCCGGGGCUCACAGGCCUGGCAAGAGGAAAGAAAGCCCACCAACAGCCCUGCCUCUACCAGGAUCGCAACUGUGGGAUAAAGGCGAGCUGCCCCCACCUCCUAAGCGCCCUCGUGUGACCCCCAAGGAAGACCUGGGCAGCCAGCAGAGGAGCGUGUGGAGACCAGAGGACAGCAUGACAUCGGAGGGAAAAUAGAGGCCUCGGAGGAGAAAUCAGAGGUGCUGACAGAUGACGCUGCCCCUCGGCUGGCACCUUCUCACCCCCCAUCUGCUGCAAGGACUGCAAACACCCUGCCCCGUCCCGGGGACACUUGGUCAGUCCCAGUAUUCCUACCACCUCUGCCUGGGCACAGAAGGCAGCUGGGCCCCCCACCCUGUCUGACCCUCUGCCUUCCCCCACACCCAGGAGAGCCCGGCCAGUAACACCCACAGUCCCCUGUUCUACUGCACCUCCCGGUUCUCUCCUCCCCAGCCCUUCUCUCUGUAGCCCUUCUGCACUCUCCCCUCAGUUGAGACCCUUGAUGGGCAGCAACAGCCAGCCUGCCUCCCCAAAGCCCCUCUUCCUGUCCUGCCUCUCAUGGACCCUUCCCUCGCCAACAUCUCAGUAGCCAGAGGCAGUGCAUUGUCACUGUGCAGGGCUGCUUCUGACCUGGAAGCUAUGGACACCACCCCGCCUUCCAUUCUCCAGUCUCCUCCCACCUCUGAGAUCAACUGUAGCCCAUUGGACAGGGCAUCUCUUGGUCCCGGGAAACCACCACCAAGGGACAGCACUGCCUGGCCUAAAGCCAUUGCCACCUCCCAAUCUCAUGUAGUGCAAGGACCGUGGACAACUUCAUACCAUCUGCCAAAUUGAACAGCCACACCACAGCCCACACUGGGGGCCCCAAGUGGGCAUCGAUAUCCCGGCUCCCCCUGUGUGAGGAACCCAGCAGCACCCUCACCAGCAAUCAGUCUACCCUGUCCUGCAGCCCCAUCUCCAUCUGACUUGGAAGCUACGGACACCACCUUGCCUUCCUAGUCCAUCCACUUCCAGUCUCCUAGUCACGUCCCACGUAGUUGACCCCCCCCUGCAGGGAGCAGAAGAGAGCUGUACAAUCAUCAGUCACCUUUCCCUGGCCUGACCCUGAACUGGGUUGUUCUGAGCUCUUGGCUAGUUUUCUUUAGCUUGAAACUAGUCUGACACCCACCACCCCUUCCUGCUAUCCCUGUUCCCCUCACCUGUUUACCUCAGUGGCUCUUAUACUCUCCCAUUAUGUACAUAAAA